rnacentral:rRNA from 1 species
GGCUCUUUGCCUAUAUAAGUAUAAAGAGUCGAGCCUGCCCAGUGAGUUUUUUAACGGCCGCGGUACUCUGACCGUGCAAAGGUAGCAUAAUCAUUUGCCUUAUAAUUGAAGGCUAGUAUGAAUGGUUUGACGAGAGCAGCACUGUCUCCUUUUUAUUUUCAAGAACUUAACUUUUAGGUGAAGAGGCCUAAAUUUUAUUGAAGGACAAGAAGACCCUGUCGAGCUUAAAAGACGUUAUAGGGGCUUAAUAUACUUUUAAAUAAAUUUUCUGUUAAGCUUUUUAGUUGGGGCGACUAAGGAACAAAAAAAGCUUCUUUCUAAUAAUAAACAAUCACGUUUAGAUCCGAUAGUAGGCGAUUAAAGGAAUUAGUUACCGCAGGGAUAACAGCAUAAUCUCUCUUGAGAGACCUAAUCGAAAGAGGGGGUUGUGACCUCGAUGUUGGACUAGAAUAUCCUAAAGAUGCAGAAGUCUUCGAGGGUUGGUCUGUUCGACCAUUAAAAUUCU